CCCUUAGAUGUCCGGGGCCGCACGCGCGCUACACUGAAGGAAUCAGCGUGGCUUUCUCCCUGAACCGAAAGGGUUGGGAAACCCGUUGAAUCUCCUUCGUGAUAGGGAUUGGGGCUUGAAAUUGUUCCCCAUGAACGAGGAAUUCCCAGUAAGCGCGAGUCAUAAGCUCGCGUUGAUUACGUCCCUGCCCUUUGUACACACCGCCCGUCGCUACUACCGAUUGAACGGUUUAGUGAGGGCCUCGGAUUGGUCUCGGCCCGCUCUUUACCGGGCGGCGCCGUUGGUCGAGAAGACGCUCGAACUUGAUCGUUUAGAGGAAGUAAAAGUCGUAACA
rnacentral:rRNA from 1 species